GAUGAACGCUAGCUACAGGCUUAACACAUGCAAGUCGAGGGGAAACGGCAUUAAGUGCUUGCACUUUUUGGACGUCGACCGGCGCACGGGUGAGUAACGCGUAUCCAACCUUCCCAUGACUAAGGGAUAACCUGCCGAAAGGCAGACUAAUACCUUAUGGUCUUCACUGACGGCAUCAGAUGUGAAGUAUAAGAUUUAUCGGUUAUGGAUGGGGAUGCGUCUGAUUAGCUUGUUGGCGGGGUAACGGCCCACCAAGGCAACGAUCAGUAGGGGUUCUGAGAGGAAGGUCCCCCACAUUGGAACUGAGACACGGUCCAAACUCCUACGGGAGGCAGCAGUGAGGAAUAUUGGUCAAUGGGCGAGAGCCUGAACCAGUCCAAGUAGCGUGCAGGAUGACGGCCCUAUGGGUUGUAAACUGCUUUUGUAUGGGGAUAAAGUCAAUCACGUGUGAUUGUUGGCAGGUACCA
rnacentral:rRNA from 1 species